UGCAGAGGGUGCGAGCGUUGUCCGGAAUCACUGGGCGUAAAGGGCGCGUAGGCGGCUCAGUAAGGUUGCGGUGAAAGCCCGGGGCUCAACCCCGGGUCGGCCGUGGCAACUGCUGGGCUGGAGCACUGUAGAGGCAGGUGGAAUUCCGGGUGUAGCGGUGGAAUGCGUAGAGAUCCGGAAGAACACCGGUGGCGAAGGCGGCCUGCUGGGCAGUAGCUGACGCUGAGGCGCGACAGCGUGGGGAGCAAACAGG
rnacentral:rRNA from 1 species